AGUGAACGCUGGCGGCAGGCCUAACACAUGCAAGUCGAGCGGCAGCGGGUCCCCGCGAGGGGAUGCCGGCGAGCGGCGGACGGGUGAGGAACACAUCGGAAUCUGCCUGGUUGUGGGGGAUAACGUAGGGAAACUUACGCUAAUACCGCAUGCGACCCUGAGUCGACGGACUGGGGGUGAAAGUGAGGGACCUUCAGGCCUCACGCGACCAGAUGAGCCGAUGUCGGAUAGCUAGUUGGCGGGGUAACGGCCCGCCAAGGCGACGAUCCGUAGCUGGUCUGAGAGGAUGAUCAGCCACACUGGGACUGAGACACGGCCCAGACUCCUACGGGAGGCAGCAGUGGGGAAUAUUGGACAAUGGG
rnacentral:rRNA from 1 species